GUCAGGAGAAGAUUAGAAGAAUUUUUUGAUGACCCAAAGAAUUGGGGGGUGGAAGGAAGAAAAGUCAAAUCUGGAGCUUCACAUACCUGGUAGCAACUGAGAAACAAAAGUAAUGAAAAUUUACAUAAGCUUUGACAUAUACUUCUGAAGGAAAGAACCAUGCUUCUAACUCUAGAGCAGGAGGCCAAGUGACAGAGAUUGCCAAUGCCAAGUCCAGAGUGGUUAGAAAAGGUUGUUGAUUCCAUGAUGCCUUAGAUAAAGUUGUCCAGGAGAGAGAAGAUGCUUUGAGGCUUCUUCAGACCAGUCAAGAAAAUCCAAGACCUGGUGCUUGGGAGAAGGGACAGCUUUGGCCAAAUCAUCAGGUGCAAAUUCAAGCAGUGACCUAUACCUUGCUAUCUAAAUAAAAGAUAUAACAGAAGGCAGUUCUUUGUAAUGCCUUAUGUGGAUUGCUUUGCCAGACUGAGAGUUGAGAAACAUGUCCUCACUGAAGCAAGAAAGAAGUUUCCAGAAAAAGAAAGAAAGAAAAAAAUUCUCCAAGCAAAGUUCAUGCAUUUCUCUCAAUAAUGGAAAUUAAGUACUGUCUAA
rnacentral:lncRNA from 1 species